UAGAAUAGGAAAACAAAGAAGGAAAUGAAUGUCAAAACUGUCCAUUAAAGAUAAAAGGAAGGCCAACAACAGAAGAGUGGUUGCCCUGUUCUUGAGAGGACUACAUGACAACAGUGUGAAAGAACGCCAGCCCACAGACUUUCAUGAAAUCUUUAGGACCUCUAACACACUGAAGAACAGGAAAUCUGAGUGGGAUUCUGCAGAACACCCCUCCUUUCCCAGCAUGACUUCUCAAUUUCUUCUGCCUUGAGACUUUUCAUCAGGCCUGUCCAAAUAAGAUCUCACCUUCAUCAAUGACAGUGGAGUCAGUGACAACUUCAGAUGGCCCAGAACUCUUCCUGCAGGUGGAGACUCCUGAGUUCCAACACUGUUCUCAGACCUCCUAAGACUGUGCCUGCAAAGGUGCUCAUCAGCCAGUGCUGCCCUAGAAGCCAGCUGUUGUCAAUGUAAGCAUCAAAGAGACAUGGAAAUUCCUUCCCAGUUGUGAGUAAACAGGAUGAUAGAUUCCAGUUUUGAACAAAACCUAAAAGUUUUGAGGGAAUUUGCUAUGGGAAUAAAAAAAUAAUUAGACUUCUGUCUAAUGGGAAUAGACAAGUCUUCAGAAUUACAGUAACUUUUAAUCUAGAAAGGUUUGACUCCACUUCUUGCUAUUUGCCUGCUGACAAAUUUCAGACCUUACCUCUCCCUCUUCCUCUUAUGCAAACCACAGUGAGCUGAUCAGAAAGCCCGGCUGCACUCUACCUUUGCACUGUAUGGACUCAAACCAUGCAAGCUGUGGCCCAUGCCUGGAAAUCUCACUCAGGGUCCACCACAAAUAUUUAAAGCCCAACCAGUCUCCUUUCUUGACUCUCUCAAGCCAUUUAGGACCAGCUUGAGAGGACUCUGCUCUCCCUAGAGAUCUCAAUUUUGGAAGUAAUAAAAGUUUUUGCACCAUUUUCCUGUAUGUGUAGUGUCAUCAGUCAUCACACAUCAACUAAAUCUGAAGUGUGCUUUCCUCUCACACUUAGGAGGAACUAUACCACAAAGGAAGUCUGCUUCUAUUUCACCUUGCAGUUAAUGAAAGAACUAUACAAGUUGUUGACAUUCU